rnacentral:tRNA from 1 species
UAAAAGGUGGCCGAGUUUAGGUGUUAGAUUGUAAAUCUAAGGACGAGAGUUUUCUUUCUUUUAA